ACCUACGGGGCGCAGCAGUGGGGAAUAUUGCACAAUGGGCGAAAGCCUGAUGCAGCAACGCCGCGUGAAGGAAGAAGGCCUUCGGGUCGUAAACUUCUGUCCUUGGGGAAGAAGAACUGACGGUACCCAAGGAGGAAGCCCCGGCUAACUACGUGCCAGCAGCCGCGGUAAUACGGAGGAUCCGAGCGUUAUCCGGAUUUAUUGGGUUUAAAGGGUGCGCAGGCGGUCUGUUAAGUCAGCGGUCAAAGCCCGGGGCUCAACCCCGGCCCGCCGUUGAAACUGGCAGUCUCGAGUUGGAGAGAAGU
rnacentral:rRNA from 1 species